ACAUGCCUACAUCAUAGCGUUAAUGCACCAGAUCCCAUUAGAACUCCACAGUUAAACACACUCAGGAUAGAGUAGUACUGGGAUGGGUGACCGCUCGAGAAGUCCUAUUGCCUUACAUGCC
rfam:Picea glauca, whole genome shotgun sequence.